rnacentral:rRNA from 1 species
ACCUCGGAUCACGUACGGAUACCCGCUGAACUUAAGCAUAUCAAUAAGCGGAGGAAAAGAAACCAACAGGGAUUGCCUCAGUAACGGCGAGUGAAGCGGCAAGAGCUCAAAUUUGAAAGCUGGCCCCUUCGGGGUCCGCAUUGUAAUUUGCAGAGGAUGCUUCGGGAGCGGUCCCCAUCUAAGUGCUCUGGAACGGGCCGUCAUAGAGGGUGAGAAUCCCGUAUGGGAUGGGGUGCCCGCGACCAUGUGAAGCUCCUUCGACGAAUCGAGUUGUUUGGGAAUGCAGCUCUAAAUGGGUGGUAAAUUUCAUCUAAAGCUAAAUAUUGGCCGGAGACCGAUAGCGCACAAGUAGAGUGAUCGAAAGAUGAAAAGCACUUUGAAAAGAGAGUUAAAAAGCACGUGAAAUUGUUGAAAGGGAAGCGCUUGCGACCAGACUCGCCUGCGGGGUUCAGCCGGUAUUCGUACCGGUGUACUUCCUCGCAGGCGGGCCAGCGUCUGUUUGGGCGGCCGGUCAAAGGCCCUCGGAAUGUAACGCCUCUCGGGGCGUCUUAUAACCGAGGGUGCCAUGCGGCCAGCCCGGACCGAGGAACGCGCUUCGGCACAGACGCUGGCAUAAUGGUCGUAAGCGACC